rnacentral:rRNA from 1 species
GUAGGGUGAACCUGCGGAAGGAUCAUUACUGAAAUGUAAUAACUUCUAUUGAAAGGUUCCAGAGUAGGCGCUACAACGCCGAAAUGACCUUCUCACCCUUGUGUACUCACUAUGUUGCUUUGGCGGGUCGACCUGGUUCCGACCCAGGCGGCCGGCGCCCCCAGCCUUAACUGGCCAGGACGCCCGGCUAAGUGCCCGCCAGUAUACAAAACUCAAGAAUUCAUUUUGUGAAGUCCUGAUAUAUCAUUUAAUUGAUUAAAACUUUCAACAACGGAUCUCUUGGUUCUGGCAUCGAUGAAGAACGCAGCGAAAUGCGAUAAGUAAUGUGAAUUGCAGAAUUCAGUGAAUCAUCGAAUCUUUGAACGCACAUUGCGCCCUCUGGUAUUCCGGAGGGCAUGCCUGUUCGAGCGUCAUUUCAACCCUCAAGCUCUGCUUGGUAUUGGGCAACGUCCGCUGCCGGACGUGCCUUGAAGACCUCGGCGACGGCGUCCUAGCCUCGAGCGUAGUAGUAAAAUAUCUCGCUUUGGAGUGCUGGGCGACGGCCGCCGGACAAUCGACCUUCGGUCUAUUUUUCCAAGGUUGACCUCGGAUCAGGUAGGGAUACCCGCUGAACUUAAGCAUAUCAAUAAGGCGGAGG